GUGCUUAGUUUUUCAAUUUCCAAGUCAGGGCUUCGAGAGCUCAGCCUGGUACAAGCGUUCGCGCCGUGCGUCCAUUGCGGACGGCUGGGCUCCGUGUCGGGAGUCCCAUCCGGGACCCGGGCUGGAGAAACAGCCUGUCCGUGGGGCACUUGUGUCUAUUGGCAGAGGCGGAGCGCGGGCGGCAGGCCUCGGGCUGGCUCUCAAAGCUGCUGCCGGAGAAAGUCGUGCGGCCACGCCCAGCGUCAGCGGGAGGACGUCGGUGGGUCCCCGGGACAGCGCUGCCCUUUCCCACGGUGGCAAGGGGACGGGGUCCCGGCGGGAUGUGACAUCGAUCGCCACCGCCACCGGACGGAUGGGACGGUGGUGCCGUGUUCUGGCAGGUCUCCAUCCCAAGAAGAAGAUACGAGCACGUUAAGCAGACAAUUGCGCCAAUCUUGACCCCGGCGGGCCUUAGGUGAGGACCACGUGAUCCCGGAAACGGGCGGAGAGGCCCCUGGGGCAGCCGGGGCAGCUCGGCGUGGAGUCGGACGGCCCCGAGGGGAAACCAGCCCCCCUUGGUCGGUGCCCACUGGGAACAGACAGCGCGGCCCCCCCUGAAAGGGGCUCCGGUUUCCGUCCGAGCUUUUAACGGUCGGACUUCCUGUCUCACACGAAAGUUCAAAACAGGUGGACUUGAACGGAAUUCGUUACCGAUGAACUUGCUCCUGCCUACAAAAUGCAGGAAUGAACAUUUCAGCCGGAGCCACGCCUUUCAAACCUGUGAUUGCUCUGCACAGAACUCUCCGGUCGUUUUCCAUUUCACUCAGAGGGAAAUCCAAGGUCUUUUGGUGACCAAGAAGCCCUAGGAGACCACCCCGGUCGUUCUCUGGCCUCCUUUUCUACCUCCAGCCCCACAAGCUCCUCCAGCCAGGACGGCCAGUGGGCUCUCCUGCUCUCCCCAGUCGUUCCUGCCCCAGGGCCUUUGCACUUCCUGCUCUCCUUACUGGGACUUCCACUGCUUCCAUUACUAGGUUCUCCCACCAGAGAUUGAGAAGAUGGGCUCUCUCUCUCUCUCUCUCCUUCCGUGGCUCAAACGUCAGGCCCCGUCCAUGAGAGCAGAACUGUGUUUUGUCAGGUCCUGCGUCUUUGAUGACUGGCCCAAUUGAGGACAUGACCCAGGCCUCGAGGAAGGUGCCAGGCAACGAUCUGGACAGGGACACUGAGGACAGAGAGGACGGAGAGGCCACGGAGCUGGUCUGGAGUCCCAACACGUCAGGCCCGAAUCCCGGAACCGGAAGCCAAGUCCCCUGAGUCUCUGGCGCAGUUUCUGCCUCGCCUCGUUGCCUCCCCUGGGACGGUAUCACGUGGUCAGCCUCCAAGUUGCAACAGGUACUGUGUGGCACCAGGGCUCCUGGUCUAUCCCUGGACUGCACUCUGGGCCGUGGGCCCGGCGGGCGUCCUCGCCCCAGCACGGUCCCGGGUGAUCUGAGCACCGUCGGCCGCGCAGCGUCCGAGCCCUCUGGGCUCCACGCCCCUCAGCACGGAGAGGGGCCGGUCACCGGGCCCCCAGCUCCCCUGUCAGCCCGGAAUGGGAGACAGUGCGCAGGGUGGGGGUCUGCCGAGAGGCGGGGUCGAGAUGCACCCGCUGCGUGACAGGCUGGGGGUGACGCCCCACGGGAGCCGUGACGCUGUAGAGCCCUGGUCUGCACCCUCUUUUCCGUUCUCGCUGGAGUCUGGAGUUACUCUUCCUCCUUCGGGAACUUGGCUUCCCCACCUCAGCCUUGUUCCCUAGGACUCUCUCUGGGGGUGGGGCCUGUCUCCCAGCCGCCCUACAGAGACCAGCCUGCACUGUUGUUUAAGGGGCGUCCUCCGGUCCUCUCGGUGAGCAGAGGACAGUGACAAGCGGCAGGGGUGGGAGGAGGGGCUGUUUCUGGAAUUCACGGAGUUCGCAGGGUCCUGAUCCUUGGUCCGCGGAUCCUGAAUCUCCUCCCAGGGGGCCGGUGCGGACUCUUCCCCCGACGCCCUGCCUGCUCGGAACCCCCUGGUUCCCUGGGGAACCCUGGGGAGCCCCCACCGCCAGGAGGACCGCGUGCCUGUUCGCUCCCUGCGCAUCUGUCUCCGCUCGGCGCUGGGUACAAGGGCACGGCUCCAGCCACUGCUGGCGGCUCCCCAAACCCUCUGCUGGAGCUCCAGACCUCAGCAUUGUCUACCAGAUGGAUGUACUUCUAAUUCAAGCAGGCUCUGUCCCCGUGAAGGUGCAACCAGAGGGAAGACAGGGAAAGCUGGUAGAUAAGACUCUUCGAAGGCUUCGGACCUGGGAUGGAAGGGAGAGAGAUGGAAAUGAAGUCUCGGGUCACUCACUCUCCGCCUGUGGUCUGUUCUCGUCUUAUCCCCUAAGGUCGAUGAAUUUGUCAUCGAAAGGGGCCAGUUAGACGGGGGCAGGGCGAGAGCACCAGGCAUCCUUCACCGGGAUUCGCACCGCCUUGCUGAGGGACGAGCUGCCUCGAGGGAGACUGGCUGUUCAGAGGGCAGGGUGACAAGGUUCCUCGUCUCAGUCCUUGGGGCCACCACCCAACACCCAGGACAGACCUCUAGGGUCUACACCACAAAGCCAGCCCUGUCUCAUGCCUCCCUCUCCUCCCGAUUGCAAGCCGUUGCAGCGGCCGUUUGGUUUAUACCUGGGACAUCACGACCCCCUGCUUCCCACCUUCUAAUGCUGCAUCCUCCUGCAUCAGGACGUUUAAACACAUCACAGGCGAGUCCAGGGCUUGUUAGCACAGACACUCGUGUCCCCGCCCUCGUUUAACACAUACUAACGUUUUGCCACGUUUGCCUCGACUUUUCCUUCAAAACUGCAACACGUGACUGGAAUCCUUGCUCUCACAACCUGUUUGCUUUUGAUUCACGUUUUUAAUAGGUAAACGGUCGCCAAGUACAAGCUUAUAAAAGUAAGAGAGUUCACCCCCUCUGGUCUCCUGUGGCACCGUCUGGCGUCGGUGACCGGCCAUCUCGCGAAGGGGUGCGUCUCGGCCUCCAGCCUGGCAGGGCUGCAGCGGGCUCUCGGGACGCGUGUCCGGCCGCCCCUCACCGCCCGCGCCCGUCCCUGAGUGUGCUGUCUACGCUCGCCAUCUGUGCCUUCCACUCGCUACUCGCUUCGCCGGGUCUGCUCCAGAAAGGCCCCCAGAGUCUCAGCAAGGGUGGCGUGGACUCCGAACGACUCUAGGUGCAACGGGCCUGCGUGAGGUUUUCUCCCUUCCUCCCUCCCUUUCCUUGCUCCUCUCGUGUCAGCAUCGGGUCCGCCUCUGACGGGCCACCGCCGAUGAGCUGCAACGGUCCCUCCCUCACGUCACACGUGUGGGUCCGGUGGGGGUGGGGGGAGUGGCCGGCUGGGGUCUCUCUCCGGGGUGGCGAAAUCACACUGAAAUUAAGCGUGGGGAUGGCAGCCCAACUCUGUGAAUGUGCUAAAACCACGGAGUUUCAUACUUAAAACCAAGUGAACUUCGCGGUGGGGGAGUUACGUCUUGCUAUGCCGAGGACCAAGGGUAUCUGUUUGCAAGAAGCUGGGCUGGGGUUCGAGGCGUAUCUGGGUCCAGGGGACCGAGAAACUUCCCAGCCUUGGCCUUUGCGCCGUCUGCCGAGCCGGAAAGGCCUCCCGGCGCUGACCGCUGACCGCUGACUCCCUCGUGGUCCCGGAGACGACUGCCCGUUCCCAGCCGCCUUCUCCGGUCGACGCCGUGUGGGUGGUGGCCCGGCUCACGGCCGUUCUCCCUCGGGACCAGUCCCGGUGGUGAGCGGAUCCACGACCAGCCCCGGCCACCAGCUGACCGGCGUGUGGUCGCCACCGACCCCAGCUGGGGCGUCUGGGACUUUGAGACACGCAGAGACGCAGGCGGGUCCGCCCGUGGCCGUGACAUUGAGAAGGGUCACAGGCUCCUGGUGCCCAGGCGCCUGAUAUUGCCGUGACUCGGCCCGGGGAUCCCAGCUGCCCCAUGACGCCGCGCGCUGCCCCCCGUGUCCUCCGCGGUGCCCCCUUAUGCUCCGCGGGCUAGAGACGUUUCGGAGCCAGACUCCCCUUCGCUGCACAGUGGGGGCAGCCAGCAGGUGGACACAAGCUUGGGGAUUUCUGUCCCACGAGCACCCGAGUGGCUGUCGGGUGAAGGGCCACAGAUGUGACUCUUGCCGUCUUGACCCAGCACCCGGAUCGUUCUGUCCGCCCCCCCGAGACCACCCGCCCCCCGAAACCA